CCAAUCUCGGAAUGAAUCUGGGGGAGACGCGUAGUGAGCAUUCUGCUGAUUGUGAAACUGCGUAGGGUAGGUAUUAGUUAAGCCUUUUAACUAAUAGACGGGAUACUAAUGGUGCGAUGCAUCAUGUUAAUGGGAAACCCAACA
rfam:Vibrio genomosp. F6 str. FF-238 FF-238_contig_39, whole genome shotgun sequence.